rnacentral:rRNA from 1 species
CAGCUGAAUGAUAGUCGGGCUGAAGACUCUACUUGACUAGCUGAGAGGAGGUGCAUGGCCGUCGUCAGUUCGUACUGUGAAGCAUCCUGUUAAGUCAGGCAACGAGCGAGACCCACGCCAACAGUUGCCAGCUCGUCCUCCGGGAUGGAGGGGACACUGUUGGGACCGCUCUGCUAAAGAGGAGGAAGGAAUGGGCAACGGUAGGUCAGCAUGCCCCGAAUUAUCUGGGCUACACGCGGGCUACAAUGGGUGGGACAAUGGGUAUCGACACCGAAAGGUGAAGGCAAUCUCCUAAACCCAUCCUUAGUUCGGAUUGUGGGCUGCAACUCGCCCACAUGAAGCUGGAAUCUGUAGUAAUCGUGUUUCAAAAUAGCACGGUGAAUAUGUCCCUGCUCCUU